rnacentral:rRNA from 14 species
GAAUAGACAGAAAGUAAAUUGAAGUGUAGAUAAAGCAGUAGAAUGUGUUAACAUCUAUAAGAAAACCAUAUUUGAAAAAUAUUUACUUCUAUAUAUUGACGCUGCAGGGUGAAAGUAUGGAAAGCAACACAGAUUAGAUACCUGUUUAGUCCAUACUGUAAACUAUAAAUGUUGGGGAAAUUAUGAUUUAAUUAAAGGUAUUUUAUCUUUGAGAAGAACAUAUUUCUCUAAGAGAAAUCAAUAACAUUUUAUCUGGGAACUAAAAUCGCAAGAUUCAAAUCCAAAUAAAUUGACGGCAUUCCAAAAAACUGGUGUAGUAUGAAGCUUAAUUCGAUA